GGUGAGAUGGCCGAAUAAAUAGGUGCUAAAUUGUAAAUUUAUGAAUGAAGUUGUACUUCUCUUACCA
rnacentral:tRNA from 1 species